UGUUGGUUGAUGAUUUAGAGAACCGUGUCUGCUGGAAAAACAAGUGGUUCCUGUUGGUAUUAAUAACGUAAUGACUUCAUUGCUAAGCAAACCUGUCUGCAGUGAGAGGACAUCGAGGGCUCCUGGCGAGUGAUUUCACAGAACCUGUGCCUUGCCUCAUUCCUGUGGGAUCCUUGAGGGAGCGAUGCUUUGUGGGAAGCAUGACCCAGCCUCGUGGCUCAUCCCAGAGCUGAAAGCUCCCAGGAAUGAGGUGAUUGGUUGGCUGCUGGAGAAGGAAGAAGAGGCAGCUGAGCACCCAGAGAACAAGCAGGGCUGGCUGGGACCCGUGCUGCCCACUGCCCUGGUUCACCAGGGCUAUCCCAAUUUCCACGAGUGAAUGGUGAUUGUGGAUGGAUCUUGGGGAUGAUCCCGGGCUGCUGCAGCUGUGGGGGCUGGCUGAAGGAGGGGAGAGCUGUGGGAGCCAUCCCCACACCCCCAAAUGAACAGCCCUGCUCGGCCCGGGGGCAUCAACCUGUGUGUGCAGAGUGGGCACAAGCAGCUGUGGGGAGGGGUAAACGGGCAUGGGGCAGGUCUGGGGGCUGCUCUGUGCCCCACUGCCCCCCUGGGCUAUGUCCUGCUUGUGUGAAUCCAAGCACUGCGUUCCCUGAUGGAGAUGGAGCUGAGGAGCACCGAGGGGACUUUUGGCAAUGACAGGGAGCGACAGGGGAAUGGCUUCACUGCCAAGGGAAGAGUUAGGUGGGUUAUUGAGAAGGAAUUGUUCCCUGGGAGGGUGCCCUGGCACAGAGUGCCCAGAGCAGCUGUGGCUGCCCUUGUAUCCCUGAAAGUGUCCAAGGCCAGGUUGAACAGGGCUUGGAGCACCCUGGGCUCUUGGGAGGUGUCCCUGCACAUGUCAGGGGGUGGAAUGAGCUGAGCUUUAGGCUCCCUUCCAGCCCAAACCACUCUGAUCCUCUGAUGGGAUUCUGCCUUUAGCAGAUAAAGAUGCAUGGAUGUUUCCAAAGGAGAUUGCUGUAGGCAGGUGCAAAGUAGGCAGCUACCUUCCAAAAAUGGGGAAGUGGAGAGAGAGAGGAGAUAAAGAGGAGCCAGAUGAAAGCAGGGACUGUGCCAAAAGUGCCUUCUAUUUAUGAUCGCACGAGGUCAACAAUAAUCCCCACGGCUACCAGCACAUAAAAAUUGAUUCUUUCCUGAAGAGAUUGGUGGAUUUGUGGUCAGGACACGUUCUCUGAUCCUCCUGCCCUCGACAUGGCUGGAAUUUGUGGAGAUGGUGUGUGCUCCUCUGUAGAGGUCUAAACAGCUUCUCAAAAAGCGACCACUUUCACUUCUGACCUGGGCUCCCGGGAAUUUGCCGUAAAUGAGGGAAAUGCCUCCUCCAGCUUCUGGCCUGUGUAUCCACGGGCGAGCAGCUGCCUGCUGGGGUUGAGGCUCUUCAUCCUUCCCCACAUCCCAGCCUGAUGCUCACCCCACACACCUCUCUUCUCCUGCCCCAAAUCUUUUAUGCUCCUGCCCAAAACCUUGGCACCUCAGAGAGGUGACAUCCAUGGGGGUCACAUCCCACCUAGGGCCGGCACAGAGCUGUGUGAUGCAGACCCUGGGAGGCUGAAGGCUCUUUCACUCUCUGCCAGUGCUGCUGUGGGGGGGAAGAAAGGCUGAGCGUUUCCAAAGCCUCCAUCUCCUUCCCCAGCUCUUCCAAAGCUCAUCCUGCCUCUCCGCUGUCAGCUGGAAAUCUCCUCCACUCCUUUAUUUUAAAAACACCCAGCUUUAAAAACCGUGGUGCUUGAAACCACUUUUGUUUCCCACAAGUGGCAGGAAGCUACCCAACAAAGCCUGUUUAUUUUUCACAGCCUCAUCCCUGCAGCUAUUCAGUCCUGGGCACUCCUGAAUUCCUGGGAAGUUUGCUGGCUAGUGCCAGGCCCUGCCAGCAAGGAGCACAGGCUAUAAUAUCCCCGUGAGUGGUUUGUGCCCUGUAUCUCCCAGCUUUAGGUGUGCUCAAAGGCUUUCUGCAAGUGCCUCUGCACAGUUUUGAAGCACUGAGUGCGUUGCAGAAACUGCAGCCACACAAAGGGAUCCCGGCGCUUUGGGAGGUCGGGGAGGGAUGGGCUGGUGGGGAUGUGCAAAGAUAAUCAAUGUCAGGCUUUUUAACAGCCACGCAGGUAUUGAACAAAGCUUCUUGAAGGCCUUUCAGGCAGCACUGGGGUUUGUUGUGCUGGGAAUAGGGACCCGUGCAAGUGCUGGCUGCUCAGAGCCUGUUUGGUGUUUGAGCUGACAAACCCCAGUGUGAGCUUGGAUUGUGGCACUGGAGGAGCUGCUCUGGUCUGGGCUGUGGCCCUGCACUCUCUCCCCUGCUGAGGGCUCUGCCAAGGAGGAUCCUGGAGGGCUUCCUUCACCUCUGUGUCCAUGCUGCCUCCAGCCACCCCCCUGUGAUGCUGGAGGGAGAGCGCUGUGGUGAAAGGACAGAGAAGGCAGGAAACAGGGAGAGGAGCCCCCAGGGUCAGCUGGAAAGCAGCUCAAAGCCAGGAGAGGUGAAAAAUGAAGCAGCCUGAGCAUGGGAAGGAAUGUCACAUUCAGAACUCCCGGUGGGAGAUGUCCCUGUUGCUCUGACAGUGGUGCCACUCACCUGUGGGCUCCCCAGCUCUGCACACCUGGGGCUCCGUGUGUUGGAUGGGACCAUCCCCAUGGUGCCCAGGGACCUUCCAAACCUGCCCUCAGGUGGGGGGAAGGCAGGCAGCUGACUUGAGCUUCUCUUUCCUCUUUGACCCAAAUUCCAUCCUCCUUGGAGCAGUGCCCUGUGGGGCCAUGCACACAAACACUUCCUUGGAGGCUGUUGCCUUUUCCAGGCUUUGCUGGCUGGAAAAUACUGCUGUGGGGUUUGCUGCUGCUUCCUUCCUUGCAGCAGUGCUGAGCAGUCCCUGUAGAACCUCCUCACAGAGGGAUCCCUCCUCCACUCAUCCG